rnacentral:snoRNA from 1 species
CCCCAGAAUGAUGAACUAUUCCUUACUUUAUUUUCUGGUACCUCUUAUGUCAGCCUCUGCUUGCAGGGGCGAUGAUCUAAAUGGACUCUCUGAUC